rnacentral:rRNA from 1 species
UACGUAGGCAGCAAGCGUUGUUCGGAAUUACUGGGCGUAAAGAGUGUGUAGGUGGUGUCGUAAGUUUGGUGUGAAAUCUCCCGGCUUAACUGGGAGGGUGCGCCGAAGACUGCGAUGCUGGAGUAUGGGAGAGGAAAGCGGAAUUCCUGGUGUAGCGGUGAAAUGCGCAGAUAUCAGGAAGAACACCCGUGGCGAAGGCGGCUCUCUGGGACGGUACUGACGCGGAGACGCGAAAGCGUGGGGAGCGAACAGG